UACGAAGGGGGCUAGCGUUGCUCGGAAUCACUGGGCGUAAAGGGUGCGUAGGCGGGUUUUUAAGUCAGGGGUGAAAUCCUGGAGCUCAACUCCAGAACUGCCUUUGAUACUGAAGAUCUUGAGUCCGGGAGAGGUGAGUGGAACUGCGAGUGUAGAGGUGAAAUUCGUAGAUAUUCGCAAGAACACCAGUGGCGAAGGCGGCUCACUGGCCCGGUACUGACGCUGAGGCACGAAAGCGUGGGGAGCAACAGGAAUAG
rnacentral:rRNA from 1 species